UACGUAGGGUGCAAGCGUUAAUCGGAAUUACUGGGCGUAAAGGGCGCGUAGGCGGUCUUGUAAGUCUUGUGUGAAAUCCCUCGGCUCAACUGAGGAACUGCACGGGAUACUGCGAGACUUGAGUUCGGGAGAGGGAAGCGGAAUUCCGGGUGUAGCGGUGAAAUGCGUAGAUAUCCGGAGGAACACCGGUGGCGAAGGCGGCUUCCUGGACCGAUCACUGACGCUGAGGCGCGAAAGCUAGGGGAGCAAACGGG
rnacentral:rRNA from 1 species